GACGAACCGUGCGAACGUUAUUCGGAAUCACUGGGCUUAAAGGGCGCGUAGGCGGGCCGAAAAGUCAGGGGUGAAAUCCUCCAGCCCAACUGGAGAAGCGCCUUUGGUACUGUCGGCCUCGAGGGGUGCAGGGGCAUGCGGAACUCAGGGUGGAGCGGUGAAAUGCGUAGAUAUCCUGAGGAACACCGGUGGCGAAAGCGGCGUGCUGGACACCUUCUGACGCUGAGGCGCGAAAGCCAGGGAGCGAACGGG
rnacentral:rRNA from 1 species